GAGCGUGGCUCAAGCGGAGGGGAACCACCCGGCCCCAUCCCGAACCCGGUAGUGAAACCCUCCAGCACCAAUGAUACUGGCUCUCCCAGCCGGAAAAGUAGGCCGCCGCGCUCC
rfam:Thermobaculum terrenum ATCC BAA-798 chromosome 1, complete sequence.